rnacentral:rRNA from 1 species
CUUGACUGUAUCUUGGAAUUGGGUUUGGGCUUUUCUUGCGCAGCCUAGGUGGGAGGCUAUGAUGAUUUUCUUCCGGGAAAAUUGGAGCCGUCAUUGAGAGACCACUCUGGAAGAGCUAGAAUCCUAAUGGGGAUCCUUGAAUCAGGACCCUUGAAAGUUUCAGGUGGGCAGUUUAUUUGGGGCGAAUGCCUCCCAAAAGGUAACGGAGGCGUGCAAAGGUUCCCUCAGUCUGGACGGAAAUCAGACAUUGAGUGCAAAGGCAAAAGGGAGCUUGACUGCAAGACCUACAAGUCGAGCAGGGGCGAAAGCCGGCCUUAGUGAUCCGACGGUGCCGCGUGGAAGGGCCGUCGCUCAACGGAUAAAAGUUA